rnacentral:rRNA from 1 species
AUUGAACGCUGGCGGCAGGCCUAACACAUGCAAGUCGAACGAGUGGCGGACGGGUGAGUAAUGUAUGGGAAUCUGCCUGAUGGAGGGGGAUAACUACUGGAAACGGUAGCUAAUACCGCAUACCAUCAGAUGUACCCCUAUGGGAUUAGCUUGUUGGUGGGGUAAAGGCUCACCAGGGCGACGAUCCCUAGCUGGUCUGAGAGGAUGACCAGCCACACUGGAACUGAGACACGGUCCAGACUCCUACGGGAGGCAGCAGUGGGGAAUAUUGCACAAUGGGCGCAAGCCUGAUGCAGCCAUGCCGCGUGGAUGAAGAAGGCCUUAGGGUUGUAAAGUACUUUCAGCGGGGAGGCGUUACCCGCAGAAGAAGCACCGGCUAACUCCGUGCCAGCCGCCGCGGUAAUAC